CUGUUUGCUUACAAUCCGACCCUGCUUCGUGUACAAAUGCAAUGCCAUUUCGGCAGGGCUAUAGGCUACGAAACCUUUCGAACUCGAAAAGGCGCUACUAAUUUUGAAUAGGUACUUAAUAUUGGGUAAAAGUAAUAGAUAAGAUUGUUUUACAUUAAAUAUUUGACAGAUCGAUGUAACUCGUCAAGCGGAAUCCGAGAAGAAAAAUGACGGAUGUGCUGUUUGCUGAUAGUCCAGAACGGCUUCGUGUACAAAUGCAUGGCGGGGAGACCAGAAAGUUUUCGAAACUGCGUGAGUGGAAGUCUGCGUUGGACAAAUUUUGAAAAUAUCUGAAGGUUUAACGAAUUUUGGAGAAUUCGACAGAGCUACAGACUACGAAACCUUUCGAAACGAACACACGUGUCCUGUUGAACUUGAAAAAAGACGAAAUUAUUUUUAAAAAGAUCAUGGUAACUCGUGAAGCAACAUCUCAGAAUUGAAUCGGGGAACGAGGAAUCAAAAAAAGGUUAACAAUUUGGAUCAUUUUGGAAGAUACAUACGCCGCGCUUUUCAAAGCGGACAGACGUGCCCUUGUCCAACUGAAACGAACACACGUGUCCUGUUGAACUUGAAAAAAGACGAAAUUAUUUUAAAAAGGUAUAUUGUUGCUAAAUAAUAGAUUUUUUUUUAAUUAAAAUAUUUGACAGAUCAUGGUAACUCGUGAAGCAACAUCUCAGAAUUGAAUCGGGGAGUUGUGUAUUUGCUGGCAAUCCGGGCCUGCUUGGAUCAUUUUGGAAGAUACAUACGCCUGCGCUUUUCAAAGCGGACAGACGUGCCCGUGUCCCACUUGACAAAGGCGGAAUUAUUUUAGGAAAGACCAUGGCAACUAGUAAAGCAGAAUCCGAGAAUUCAAUCGGCGGCUGUAUGUUGACUGACAAGAAUAUAAUUGCUGUUAAUCCGGCCCUGCUUCUUGUACAAAUGCAUAGUGGGGAGACAUGAACAUUUUUCGAAAUUGCGGCCCUAUCCUCUUGGGAUUCUACGUUGGACAAAUUCUGAAAACGACCCAGAAAUAUAAUUGGAGGUUCAAACCCGUGCGAGGUGAGGUUUGAUAUAUGAAACAGACCAGUCAUGGGGACACGAGAUAUGGAAAGUUUCAGCGUAGUCGUCGCCACAUUGCUGCCAACACUGCAUAUAUAAGGAAUCACGAACCAUUCAGGAAUAUUGAGACUUAGACCAGUAUCUUUUUAAGUAGGCAUGUGGGGUAAAGAAGACGCAGAAGCUUCAGUCGGGUACCAUCGGUAACGUAGGCGAUUGAUAUAUUUCCACCACUACAUAUGUUGGAUUGGAAUUUCCCAUUUGAUGCUUUGACUGACUAAAUGAGGAAACUUGGAGAUAUUAUUGGUGGUGCCUGCCAGCUUCCAGUUCCGAGAAAAGAAAUCCAACACUUUUCGUCUUUAUUUCCCCUGUCCUUUGUGCGCAAUAAAAGUACAGUUUGUACCCGCGUGGGUACACAUUCGCAGAACUAUAUGUUUUUAAAAUAAAUGUUUUGGUCAAUAUUCACUAGGUGGGGUUACCUUAUUAAAGAAAAUCUUAUUCCAAGAGGGGACACUAGUUUACAUUCGAACCGCUAGAGGGUGCAGAUGGUCACGCGAACAAUAUGAUCAAGUCUCAUUGACGCCAUUGCUUUU